UCAACUCCGAGGCUCCCGGGCUUCGCGAGGACGCAUUUGCAGCCCCCUCUGCCUGUCCUCUCGGGCGGCCGAGGCGAAGGAGCCGCCUUUCUGGGGCUUCGUGGUGGUGUAUUUCAUAUUGGGGCUCUUUUCGGGGUUUGUAAUUUGGCCGUGGGUAGGUAAUUGGCUGGAGCAGGGCGGCAGGGCGCGGCAGCCAAUCAGCGCGCGGCUUCUAUAGGGCUUGAGUUAUUAGACGCUGAUCUCAAAACAUCGUUCAUCAGACACCAAGGAGAGGCCAACAGAUGAGGGGAGCCAUUUUUCUGCAAUGGAAUUAAAUGGCCAAGUGGGUUUUUCCUUUGUUGCAAAUGGGGAAUGCUUUUCCUUUGACUCCACCAUCCAGUUCAGGACGCCUCAGUGUUGUGUUUAACAUUUGUCAACAGGCUAAAGGACUCACAAUUGGAAGAAUGAAGAAGACUUUUUAAAAAGAUCUGGAUUUUUCCUUAUGACUUGGAAUCCAUCUUUGUCUUGUAUAACUAGGUCAUAGCACACCAUUAAUGUCAGCAGUUAACAAUUUUGAAUUCCAAAAAACCUAAAGCAGUAAACAGUCCUCAGCGAAGCCGCCUUUUGCCAACCCAACCCUGGAAAGUUUGCAGAAGUGGAAGGAGCAGAAAAUGCCAUGAGAGUGUAACUUACAAAAAGGUAACAACAAGAAAGACACCACCAUUCCCCCAAUAAUCCUAACUAAACAAUCCCCCCUCCCCCGCCAAAAGAUAUUUUUUACAUAACACGUCCAAAACCUCCGCCCAGCUUGAUCUUCCAGACUCCAUGGCACCGGGCAGAGCCGGUAAGU